AGAACGAACGCUGGCGGCAUGCCUAACACAUGCAAGUCGAACGAGACCUUCGGGUCUAGUGGCGCACGGGUGCGUAACGCGUGGGAAUCUGCCCUUCGGUUCGGAAUAACAGCUAGAAAUGACUGCUAAUACCGGAUAAUGACGUAAGUCCAAAGAUUUAUCGCCGAAGGAUGAGCCCGCG
rnacentral:rRNA from 1 species